rnacentral:rRNA from 1 species
CGUAGGUGGCAAGCGUUGUCCGGAAUUACUGGGUGUAAAGGGCGUGUAGGCGGGACUGUAAGUCAGUGGUGAAAUCUCCGGGCUUAACCCGGAAACUGCCAUUGAUACUAUUUGUCUUGAAUACUGUGGAGGUCAGCGGAAUAUGUCAUGUAGCGGUGAAAUGCUUAGAUAUGACAUAGAACACCAAUUGCGAAGGCAGCUGGCUACACAAAUAUUGACACUGAGGCACGAAAGCGUGGGGGAUCAAACAGGAUUAGAUACCCUGGUAGUCCACGCCCUAAACUAUGGAUACUCGACAUUUGCGAUAAACUGCAAGUGUCUGAGCGAAAGCAUUAAGUAUCCCACCUGGGAAGUACGAUCGCAAGAUUG